CUUAAAAUCUGAAGUUUGGUGAGCUUGAGCAUAAUUUCUCUUCCUUAAUUACAAAACAUGUUACGAUGAAGUUAAAUUUGAAGGAAAACUAAUGAAACCAAUUGAGAAAUUGGAGGGGAAAUCACAAGGGAAUAAGAACUAAACUUAAGAAAAACUAAACUACUGUUGGGAUUUGGUGCAGGCGAUGGGAUGUUUUCCAGUUUUUG
rnacentral:lncRNA from 1 species